rnacentral:rRNA from 1 species
GACGAACGCUGGCGGCGUGCUUAACACAUGCAAGUCGAACGAAGAGCGAUGGAAGCUUGCUUCUAUCACUCUUAGUGGCGAACGGGUGAGUAACGCGUAAUCAACCUGCCCUUCAGAGGGGGACAACAGUUGGAAACGACUGCUAAUACCGCAUACGAUCUAAUCUCGGCAUCGAGGAUAGAUGAAAGGUGGCCUCUACAUGUAAGCUAUCACUGAAGGAGGGGAUUGCGUCUGAUUAGCUAGUUGGAGGGGUAACGUCCCACCAAGGCGAUGAUCAGUAGCCGGUCUGAGAGGAUGAACGGCCACAUUGGGACUGAGACACGGCCCAGACUCCUACGGGAGGCAGCAGUGGGGAAUCUUCCGCAAUGGACGAAAGUCUGACGGAGCAACGCCGCGUGAGGGAUGACGGCCUUCGGGUUGUAAAGCUCUGUUAAUCGGGACGAAAGGCCUUCUUGCGAACAGUUAGAAGGAUUGACGGUACCGGAAUAGAAAGCCACGGCUAACUACGUG